UUAAACGUCCAUACCACGUUUAUACACCGGUUCUCGUCCCGAUCACCGAAGUUAAGCAACGUCGGACGCGGUCAGCACUUGGAUGGGUGACCGCCUGGGAACGCCGCGUGACGUUGGCU
rnacentral:rRNA from 1 species